AAAAGCACUUUGAAAAGAGAGUGCAAGAGAACGUGAAACCGGUUAUAGUGGAAACAGAUGGAGCCGACGUAUCCAGUGCGUAUUUAGCCGUUGUCGAGUGCAAUUCGCCCGUUUCGAGUUCUGAAAAGUCUCUGGCGAGUAGUUGUUGUGCUUGGCGAAUGGUGCACUUGCGCGCAGAGUGCGCCGAAUCGGUUGGACUUGGUGUUCGAGGUCUGGUCAAGAGGACCAGCCCGAGAGGGCUGGAAACCCGGACCGGGCGGGGGCGACACAUGAGUCUGGCUGCGUUGCAUAAGGCUGGUCGAAUGUGGAGCGGUCGGUGGAGUGUCGGUGUUGUUUGGGGUGCGACGCAUGCGCUUCGUCUCGCAACUCGUCUCUUCGCUGGGCGUUUCUCGGCCGGCGUUCGGUGUCUGGUCGGUCACCCAUCUGACCCGUCUUGAAACACGGACCAAGGAGUUUAAGGUUUGCGCGAGUCAUUGGGUGCAAAACUCAAAGGCGGAAUGAAGGUGGGACACCUGGUGUCUGUGAUGCGAUCUGUGCAUGAUUCGUCGUGUGUGGAGCAGCAUCGACCCACGACCAGAACUGGUUCUGUUGUGGAGUCUGAGCGUGGGCUUUGAGACCCGAAAGAUGGCGAACUAUGCCUGAACAGGACGAAGUCAGAGGGAACUCUGAUGGAAGUCCGAAGCGGUUCUGACGUGCAAAUCGAUCGUCUGAUUUGGGUAUAGGGGCGCAAGACUAAUCGAACCAUC
rnacentral:rRNA from 1 species